rnacentral:rRNA from 1 species
UGUGUAGGCGACCGUGCAAGUCUGGUGUGAAAUCUUCACCGCUCACCGGGAAGGAGUCACUGGAUACUGCAUGGCUCGAGUAUGGUAGAGGCGAGCGGAAUUCCAGGUGUAGCGGUGGAAUGUGUAGAUAUCUGGAAGAACACCGGUGGCGAAGGCGGCUCGCUGGGCCAUCACUGACGCUGAGACACGAAAGCGUGGGGAGCAAACGGGAUUAGAUACCCCGGUAGUCCACGCUGUAAACGGUGCGCACUAGGUGUGGGGGGUAUCGACCCCCCCUGUGCCGACGCAAACGCAUUAAGUGCGCCGCCUGGGGAGUACGGCCGCAAGGUUGAA